UAUGUUAUAAAAUCUGAACUUUUUCAUUGAAGAGUCUCUAAAAUGCUCUACAUAGAUUUUAUUCUGAUCUUCUAUUUCUUUUUUGAGCCUGUCAAUUAAUUAUCUCUGGACAAUACUUUGUGCCUUGUUUUAUGUUUCAGAAUUCCAGAUACUCAAGGUUGGAGAGCUACUAACCCAGUACAUGAAUUCCCAGUGUAUCUUUCAGUGUUCUGAACCUGUAUUUUACAUUUUCAGAAAAGUUGACCACAGAAGCAUGUUUAUAUUGUAUUAAAACAAACUAUUUUUCUGGAAAGUUUUCCCAUUAAGCGUCUAACCUCCAAGCAUCGAAUCCCAGGCCAAUUUGUUUCAAAGUACCAACCUGGAGAAAAUGCCCUGGAUUUGGAAGCAAAGUAUUGAAUGUUGGAAGUCUGAAUAAAGGAAUCAUACACUGUAUGUGCACCUGAAUGUACUUUACAAGCAUCAGUAGAACACUUCUGAUUGAAGCUUGGUCUUAUGAAGAUAAAAAUUUUAUGUGGACCACAGAUUCUCUAAAAAUCAAACUCCAAGUAGGAUCAACACAAAGACACCCACAUUCAGGUACAUCUUGUCAAAUGUGGAAAGGCAAGAAUGAAAUGAAAUGUUGACAGCAAGAGAAAAACAUCCCUUUAUAUACAGAGGAACCCCAGCAACAGUAACAGCUGAAUUCUUGUCAAAAGCAAUGGAGACCAGGGCUGGGAGUGGUGGCUUGCACCUGUAAUCCUAGCACUUCGGGAGGCCAAGGCAGGUGGA
rnacentral:lncRNA from 1 species